rnacentral:rRNA from 1 species
UAGGGAAUCUUCCGCAAUGGGCGAAAGCCUGCCGGAGCAACGCUGCGUGAGUGAUGAAGGUCUUCGGAUCGUAAAACUCUGUUAUUAGGGAAGAACAAAUGUGUAAGUAACUAUGCACGUCUUGACGGUACCUAAUCAGAAAGCCACGGCUAACUACGUGCCAGCAGCCGCGGUAAUACGUAGGUGGCAAGCGUUAUCCGGAAUUAUUGGGCGUAAAGCGCGCGUAGGCGGUUUUUUAAGUCUGAUGUGAAAGCCCACGGCUCAACCGUGGAGGGUCAUUGGAAACUGGAAAACUUGAGUGCAGAAGAGGAAAGUGGAAUUCCAUGUGUAGCGGUGAAAUGCGCAGAGAUAUGGAGGAACACCAGUGGCGAAGGCGACUUUCUGGUCUGUAACUGACGCUGAUGUGCGAAAGCGUGGGGAUCAAACAGG